UUCCUGUGGUGCAAUGGGUUAUUGUGUCUGGCUGUUAACCAGAAGGUUGGUGGCUUGAGCCCACUGAGGGAAG